UACAGAGGGUGCAAGCGUUGUUCGGAAUUAUUGGGCGUAAAGCGCGUGUAGGCGGCUUUGCAAGUCGGAUGUGAAAGCCCUCGGCUCACCUGGGGAACUGCGCCGGAAACCGACAGACUCGAGUACCGGAGAGGAGGGUGGAAUUCCCGGUGUAGCGGUGAAAUGUGUAGAGAUCGGGAGGAACACCGGUGGCGAAGGCGGGUCUCUGGGCAAUUCCUGACGCUGAGGCGCGAAAGCGUGGGGAGCAAACGGG
rnacentral:rRNA from 1 species